GACAGAGGGUGCAAACGUUGUUCGGAAUUACUGGGCGUAAAGCGCGUGUAGGCUGCUCCGAAAGUCGGAUGUGAAAGCCCUGGGCUCAACCUAGGAAGUGCACUCGAAACUGCGAAGCUUGAGUCCUGGAGAGGAAGGCGGAAUUCUCGGUGUAGAGGUGAAAUUCGUAGAUAUCGAGAGGAACACCGGUGGCGAAGGCGGCCUUCUGGACAGUGACUGACGCUGAGACGGCGAAAGCGUGGGGAGCAAACAGG
rnacentral:rRNA from 1 species